CAUAGGUUUGACCUGGAAUUUACUCGUUAACCGGUUUCUCAGACAUUGAUUCACACAUACAGAUAUGGCUCGACUAGAUGUCACCAAACUUUUCACAGCUUUAUGUUUCCUGGGCACAUGCAUACUCAAGGCUAACUGAACUAUGCGACCAACUUCAAGUUUCAUGAUACAGAUACUGUAAUUGUCACCUACCCAAAAUCAGGAACCACAUGGAUACAAGAAAUCAUCACUCUAGUUUUGAGUAAAGGGGACCCAACUAUAGCCCAAACUAAGCCAAACUGGGCCCGUGCACCAUGGCUUGAGCAGUACUACGCCGCUGAUGUUCUAAAAGCCUCUAGCGGGCCUUGUAUUAUUACUACACAUCUGCCUUACCACCUGCUGGCACCGGCCCUGCAACAUUCCAAAGCAAAGGUAAGUAGAUGGGCAAGUCACAAAUUGUACAUAGAGUUUUACAGUGGUGGACAGUAAC